rnacentral:rRNA from 1 species
AUCCUGAGUAGCGCGGGGCACGAGAAAUCUUGCGUGAAACAGCGGGGCCCAUCCCGUAAGGCUAAAUACUCCCGAGAGACCGAUAGCGAACCAGUACCGUGAGGGAAAGGUGAAAAGAACCCCGAGCAGGGGAGUGAAAUAGACCCUGAACCCGUCUGCCUACAAGCGGUCGGAGCGUUGUUAUGACGUGACGGCGUGCCUUUUGCAUAAUGAACCUACGAGUUACCUUCCCCGGCAAGGUUAAGUACCUAAGGUACGGAGCCGAAGCGAAAGCGAGUCUGAAGAGGGCGGCCAGUCGGGGGGGGUAGACGCGAAACCGAGUGAUCUACCCUUGGCCAGGUUGAAGGUUGGGUAACACCAACUGGAGGACCGGAUGGGUAAGCGUUGAAAAGCUUUCCAAUGAGCUGAGGGUAGGGGUGAAAGGCUAAUCAAACUCGGAGAUAGCUCGUACUCCCCGAAAUGCAUUUAGGUGCAGCCUCUUUAUAGUAUAUCGUGAGGUAGAGCGACUGAUUGGAUGCGAGGGCUUCACCGCCUAUCAAGUCCAGAUAAACUCCGAAUGCGCGAUAUAUAUUUAAAGGGAGUGAGGGCGCGGGUGCUAAGGUCCGUGUCCGAGAGGAGAAGAAUCCAGACCACCGGCUAAGGCCCCCAAAUGAUCGUUAAGUUGAACUAACGAGGUCGGAUCGCAGAGACAGCUAGGAUGUUGGCUUGGAAGCAGCCAUUCAUUUAAAGAGUGCGUAACAGCUCACUAGUCGAGCGAUCUGGCGUGGAUAAUAAUCGGGCAUAAACGAUCUGCCGAAGCCGUGGAUGUCGCAAGACAUGGUAGGGGAGCAUUCCAUGCGGCGUCGAAGAUGAGGGAUGACCCUUGUUGGAGCGCAUGGAAAAGCAAAUGUAGGUAUGAGUAACGAUAAGGGGGGCGAGAAACCCCCCCGCCGAAAGACCAAGGUUUCCUGAUCAACGCUAAUCGGAUCAGGGUGAGUCGGGACCUAAGGCUAAGCCGAACGGCGACGCCGAUGGAAGAAUGGGUUAAUAUUCCCAUACUGCCUCAUGGAGUGACGUGGAGACGGAGAAGUGACAGUCCUGCCGGCUGACGGAAUAGCCGGUUGAAGGGUGUAGAUAUUGAUUCCCGUAGGCAAAUCCGCGGGGAGAGUCGAACCUGACAGUAUACCGAGUACUUGUACGAGGUAAUAUGGACGUAACCAUGCUCCCAAGAAAAUCCGCUAAACUUAUCCAUGCGGCACCCGUACCGUAAACGGACACACGUGGUCGGGUUGAGAAUACUGAGGCGCUCGAGUGAUUCACGGUUAAGGAACUAGGCAAAUUGACCCUGUAACUUCGGGAUAAAGGGUCCUCGUCGUAAGGCGAGGCGCAGAGAAUAGGUCCAGGCAACUGUUUAACAAAAACACAUGGCUGUGCGAAAUGGAAACAUGAGGUAUACAGCCUGACACCUGCCCGGUGCUGGAAGGUUAAGAGGAGAUGUCAUCGCAAGAGAAGCGUUGAAUUGAAGCCCCAGUAAACGGCGGCCGUAACUAUAACGGUCCUAAGGUAGCGAAAUUCCUUGUCGGGUAAGUUC